UUCAUCCAGUGGUCAGCACUGAACACAGACUCACCAUGGAGUUGGGGCUCAGCUGGGUUUUCCUUGUUGUGCUUUUAAAAGGUGUCCAGUGUGAGGUGCAGCUGGUGGAGUCUGGGGGACGCUUGGUGCAGCCUGGUGGAUCCCUGACCCUCUCCUGUGCAGCCUCUGGAUUCACCUUCAGUAGCUAUGGCAUUAACUGGGUCCGCCAGGCUCCAGGGAAGGGGCUGGAGUGGGUGGCACUAGUAAGUACUAUAGAAAUUGUUCAAUACUAUGCCAACUCUGUAGAGGGCCGAUUCACCAUCUCCAGAGACAAUUCCAAGAACACCGUGUCCCUGCAAAUGAACAGUCUGAGGUCUGAGGACACAGCCAUGUAUUACUGUGCAAGAGACACACCAUGA